rnacentral:rRNA from 1 species
UUUUCGCAAUGCCCGAAAGGGUGACGAAGCGACGCCGCGUGGGUGAGGAAGGCCUUCGGGUUGUAAAGCCCUGUCAGGAGUUAAGAAAUGUAAGUGCGCUAAUAUCGCAUUUAUUUGACGAAGGCUCCAAAGGAAGUCACGGCUAACUCUGUGCCAGCAGCCGCGGUAAUACAGAGGUGGCAAGCGUUGUUCGGAAUUAUUGGGCGUAAAGAGCACGUAGGUGGGUUUGUAAGUCAGAUGUGAAAGCCUUCUGUUCAACGGAAGAAUUGCAUCUGAAACUGCGAGUCUUGAGUGUAGGAGGGGAGAAUGGAACUUCUGGUGGAGCGGUGAAAUGCGUAGAUAUCAGAAGGAACGCCGGCGGCGAAAGCGAUUCUCUGGCCUAUUACUGACACUCAGUGUGCGAAAGCUAGGGGAGCAAACGGGAUUAGAUACCCCGGUAGUCCUAGCCGCAAACGAUGGGCACUAAGUAGAGGGGUUUUA